CCUACGGGGGGCAGCAGUCGAGAAUCAUUCACAAUGGGGGAAACCCUGAUGGUGCGACGCCGCGUGGGGGAAUGAAGGUCUUCGGAUUGUAAACCCCUGUCAUGUGGGAGCAAAUUAAAAAGAUAGUACCACAAGAGGAAGAGACGGCUAACUCUGUGCCAGCAGCCGCGGUAAUACAGAGGUCUCAAGCGUUGUUCGGAAUCACUGGGCGUAAGGCGUGCGUAGGCUGUUUCGUAAGUCGUGUGUGAAAGGCGCGGGCUCAACCCGCGGACGGCACAUGAUACUGCGGGACUAGAGUAAUGGAGGGGGAACCGGAAUUCUCGGUGUAGCAGUGAAAUGCGUAGAUAUCGAGAGGAACACUCGUGGCGAAGGCGGGUUCCUGGACAUUAACUGACGCUGAGGCACGAAGGCCAGGGGAGCGAAAGGGAUUAGAUACCCGGGUAGUC
rnacentral:rRNA from 1 species